rnacentral:rRNA from 1 species
AAAGAAAAUAACAAUGAUUCCCUUAGUAACUGCGAGUGAAGGGGGAAANGCUCAAAUUUUAAAUCUGUUAGGUUAUACCUGACCGAGUUGUAAUUUGAAGAGGCGUUUUCUGAGGUUUUGAUCAGUCCAAGUCCUUUGGGAUAAGGCAUCAUGGAGGGUGAGAAUCCCGUUCGGUUGAUCAGAACUUCUUUACGAUACGUCAUCAAAGAGUCAAGUUGUUUGGGAUUGCAGCUUAAAAUGGGAGGUAAAUUUCUCCUAAGGCUAAAUAACGGCGAGAGACCGAUAGCGAACAAGUACCGUGAGGGAAAGAUGAAAAGAACUUUGAAAAGAGAGUUAAACAGUACGUGAAAUUGUUGAAAGGGAAACGAUUGAAGCCAGUCGUACCGGCGGGUAAUCAGCCUUUUGGGUGUGAUUAUGUGGAGUGUGAGGAGUUAAACACCCUCAUCUUUGCAUAUUCGUGCACUUUGGGUGUACUUGCUCGUGUGGUAGGUUAACAUCAAUUUUGAUCGUCAUAAAAUGAUUGGAGGAAUGUAGCUUCGAUCUCGUAUUGAAGUGUUAUAGCCUUCGGUAGAUGUGAUGAUUGGGAUUGAGGAUUGCAACGGAUACCCUUCGGGGCUACCUGUCUGAUCUCUGAAAGUUGCUCUGGUGCUGAAAGCUUGCUUAUAGUAUCAAAGUUGACGUUCAACAGGUUAGAACGGGAUAAAUUCGUUAAGGAUGUUGACGUAAUGGCUUUAAACGACC